GGAUCACCGAAAAAUUCAUGAAUAAAAUGACCCCUAUUUUUGCUCUGUUUCGGCCGAACUCUUCCCUCUCUUUUCCGGCCACCGGCGCCGCCAGUUGCGGCGUCCCAUCCCCGAGACCGGACUCCCAUAUAUCUCUCUUCCUUCCCUGAAAGCUUUGGCCGCCGGCGACCGGCCAAUGGUCGGAAUUCAUGAAGAAAGGGGACGGAUCCCCUAUUUUUCGAAAAAAAAAAAGAGCCGCCGGCCGA
rnacentral:lncRNA from 1 species